rnacentral:lncRNA from 1 species
UUUUGUUUACAUGCAUUUUGCAUCUUGUUGCUCGGCUUUCUUGAAUUCUUAUGAAGGUCCUUUACGCCUGUUGCCAAAGCACAGAGUUUUGUGUCGCCUGGGAAAUUAAUUUGAACGAUUCGCCGAUCCAUCUGAGCACGCACGUUCCGUGUUGUCCAUUCAGCUCUGAUUCCAACCCAGCUCUGUCCUUCUGGGAGAUCAUCUAGCCCACCUGUUGUCCACUUCUGCCUCAGGAACCCAACUUGCUGCAUUUGUGGCCUUCACAUGUGACCGAGAUGGAGAUGGAGGCAGUUUGCUGCUAGCAGUCGGUGUUCACUCCAGAACCCAGCGAGGAGAUGCAAGCACCAGAGUGUCGGGUCCACUUUUUCUGGUCGAUUGCCUCCACCGCCAAGUGGACCCAAGCUGAUAGGACUCGUCAGGUUCCGUGUUGUCCAUUCAACUCUGAUUCCGACCCAGCUCUGCCUCUCUUGGGGGUCAUCUAGUCCACCUGCUGUCCGCUUCCGCCUCAGGAACCAAACUUGCUGCAUUUGUGGUUUAAUGUAGCUUCUCAUGUGACUGAGAUGGAGAUGGAGGCAGUUUGCUGCUAGCAGUCGGUGUUCACUCCAGAACCCAGCGAGGAGGUGCAAGCACCAGUGUGUUGGGUUCACUCCUUCUGGUCGAUUGCCUCCACCACCAAGACUCAAGCGGACAGGACUCUCUUACUUUAGUUGUGUAGACAGUUUUGUUUCCAUUCUCUAGCAUCCUUUGACAUACAUAUCAGUCUAUCAGAAGAAAUGUUUAUCGUGCAAGUGAAAAUCUCUGUUUGAGAUACGCCACUUGGGUAGAUUCCCCCCUCUUCCCCAAUUUAGUCACUGAUGUGUUGCUGUAAAUUUUUUAUUAAAAUUGUCAUUUAAUUAAUUAUAACAAUCCUGUUGUUCUUUUUCUUUAUUCCACUUU